rnacentral:tRNA from 9 species
GGGCUGUUAGCUCAGUUGGUAGAGCAGUUGGCUUUUAACCAAUUGGUCGAAGGUUCGAAUCCUUCACAGCCCACCA